CCGACGGUGAGGGAUGAAAGCUGGGGGAGCAAACCGGAUUAGAUACCCGGGUAGUCCCAGCUGUAAACGAUGCAAACUCGAUGAUGCGUUGGCUUAUUGCUAGCGCAGUGUCGCAGGGAAGCCGUUAAGUUUGCCGCCUGGGAAGUACGUACGCAAGUAUGAAACUUAAAGGAAUUGGCGGGGGAGCACCACAAGGGGUGAAGCCUGCGGUUCAAUUGGAGUCAACGCCUGAAACCUUACCCGGAGAGACAGCAGAAUGAAGGUCAAGCUGAAGACUUUACCAGACAAGCUGAGAGGUGGUGCAUGGCCGUCGCCAGCUCGUGCCGUGAGAUGUCCUGUUAAGUCAGGUAACGAGCGAGAUCCCUGCCUCUAGUUGCCACUAUUACACCCUGGUGUAGUAGGGCGAAUUAGGGGGACCGCCGCAGUUAAUGCGGAGGAAGGAAGGGGCCACGGCAGGUCAGUAUGCCCCGAAACUCUGGGGCCACACGCGGGCUGCAAUGGUAGCGACAAUGAGUCCCGAAAUCGAAAGAUGGAGGUAAUCCCUAAACGCUACCACAGUUGUGAUUGAGGGCUGCAACUCGCCCUCAUGAACAUGGAAUCCCUAGUAACCGCGUGUCAUUAUCGCGCAGUGAAUACGUCCCUGCUCCUUGCACUCACCGCCCGU
rnacentral:rRNA from 1 species